AUACUUACCUGACGCGAGAGGCACCUUGAUCAACUAGGAGGUCCUCCCAGGAUGAGGCCCUUUCAUUGCACUUCGACUGGGUUGACUCCUGCGAUUACCCCUAAUGUGGGUAACUCGAGCGUAUAAUUUCUGGUAGUGGGGACCUGCGUUCGCGCUCGUCUCCU
rnacentral:snRNA from 1 species